rnacentral:rRNA from 1 species
CACGUAGGGCGCAAGCGUUGUCCGGAAUUAUUGGGCGUAAAGAGCUCGUAGGCGGUCUGUCGCGUCGGCUGUGAAAACCCGAGGCUCAACCUCGGGCCUGCAGUCGAUACGGGCAGACUAGAGUACUGCAGGGGAGACUGGAAUUCCUGGUGUAGCGGUGAAAUGCGCAGAUAUCAGGAGGAACACCGGUGGCGAAGGCGGGUCUCUGGGCAGUAACUGACGCUGAGGAGCGAAAGCGUGGGGAGCGAACAGG